rnacentral:rRNA from 1 species
CCCGACCGCUAUCGGGGUAGGGCUAAGCCAUGCGAGUCGCGCGCCCGGGGGCGCCCGGGAGCGGCGCACGGCUCAGUAACACGUGCCCAACCUACCCUCGGGAGGGGGACACCCCCGGGGAACUGGGGCCAAUCCCCCAUAGGGGAAGGGCGCUGGAAGGCCCCCUCCCCGAAAGGACGGCGGCCGAUCCGCCGCCGCCCGCCCGAGGAUGGGGGCACGGCCCAUCAGGUAGUUGGCGGGUUAAAGGCCCGCCAAGCCGAAGACGGGUAGGGGCGGUGAGAGCCGCGAGCCCCGAGAUCGGCACUGAGACAAGGGCCGAGGCCCUACGGGGUGCAGCAGGCGCGAAUACUCCGCAAUGCGGGCAACCGCGACGGGGCUACCCCGAGUGCCGGGCGAAGAGCCCGGCUUUUGCCCGGUCUAAAACGCCGGGAGAGUAAGCGGGGGGCAAGUCUGGUGUCAGCCGCCGCGGUAAUACCAGCUCCGCGAGUGGUCGGGGUGUUUACUGGGCUUAAAGCGCCCGUAGCCGGCCCGGCAAGUCGCUCCUGAAAUCCCAGGGCUCAACCCUGGGGCAGGGGGCGAUACUGCCGGGCUAGGGGGCGGAAGAGGCCGCCGGUACUCCGGGGGUAGGGGCGAAAUCCGUUAAUCCCAGGAGGACCACCAGUGGCGAAAGCGGGCGGCCAGAACGCGCCCGACGGUGAGGGGCGAAAGCCGGGGGAGCAAAGGGGAUUAGAUACCCCUGUAGUCCCGGCCGUAAACGAUGCGGGCUAGCUGUCGGCUGGGCUUAGGGCCCGGCCGGUGGCGAAGGGAAACCGUUAAGCCCGCCGCCUGGGGAGUACGGCCGCAAGGCUGAAACUUAAAGGAAUUGGCGGGGGGGCACCACAAGGGGUGAAGCUUGCGGCUUAAUUGGAGUCAACGCCGGAAACCUCACCCGGGGCGACAGCAGGAUGAAGGCCAGGCUAACGACCUUGCCGGACGAGCUGAGAGGAGGUGCAUGGCCGUCGUCAGCUCGUGCCGUGAGGUGUCCGGUUAACCCGUGGAUGGGGGGUGAUCUUUAAACCCGUAGGCGCGGGUGAUCUUUAUGGAGAUCCUUGAGUACUUUGUCGGGUUUCUCCUGGGGGAUGGCUACCUCUAUCACCACAAGAAGGAGGAGAAGUACCUCGUCAGGGUUGCUGACAGUAACAAGGAGUUCUUAGAGAUGCUUAGAACUGAAAUGU